CAGACAUUUAUGCAGUGUGUGAUUCUUUCUAAAACAACUCCCUGGAAGAGAGGACAUUUAAUUCAACAAUUUAUUGGCCACCUACUGUGCACCAGGCAGUAAACUUGGAACUGGGGCUACUGGGUUACAGCAGUGACCAAGACAGAGGUCCCUGUUCUUAAGGAGCAAGUGAGGGCAACAGAAAAGAGCAGAAGUCAGCUGUCAUGCGAGGGCACUCAAGCAGCCCUGUGGAAAGCUCUACGUGGUGAGAAACUGAAGCCUCCUGCCAACACCAACAAGGAACUGAGACCUACUUCCAACAGCCAUCUGAGUGAUCCAUCCUGGAAUCAGAUCCUCCAGCCCCAGUCAAGUCUUCAGAUGACUGCAGCCCUGACCAGCAUCUCAACUGCAACCUCGUGAAUGACCCUGAGCCAGAACCAUGCAACUGAACUCUGCCUGGAUUCAUGACCCACAGAAACUGUGAGAUGGUAGCUGUUUGCUUUGUUAAGCCUCUAAGUCUGGAAAGAAUGUCUUAAGCAGUAGCAGACAAUGAACAAAAGAUUAUUAUUUAGCUGUUGAAUUGGAAGAGGAGGGGAAGAAAAAAUUUUCAGAUCACAGAAUAUUCAUCAUGUAAAACUUCAAAAAUUCUGAAAUUUAAGGAAAAAAUAUCAUUUGUUGGGAAUUUGUUGGGAUUCAUUGUCUCAGUGCCAAGAGACACCCACUCUUUUUUUUUUUUUUUUGAGACAGAGUCCUGCUCUGUUGCCCAGGCUGAAGGGCAGUGGCACGAUCUCAGCUCACCACAACCUCUGCCUCCCAGGUUCAAGUGAUUCUCCUCCCUAAGCCUCCCAAGUGGCUGGGACUACAGGCAUGCAUCACCAUGCCCGGCUAAUUUUUGUACUUUUAGUAGAGACGGGGUUUCACUAUGUUGGCCAGGCUGAUCUCAAACUCUUGACCCCGUGAUCCGCCCGCCUCAGCCUCCCAAAGUGCCGGGAUUACAGGCAUGAGCCACUGCGCCCGGCCGAGACACUCACUCUUAACAUUUUGGUAUAUUUUUUCUCUCUGCGCAUUUUUUAUCCAGCUGACUUUAUUUUGUCUCCUGAAAUCUUCAUUUUUAAAUUAUAGCUUCAGCAUUUAAGAAAAUGUGUCUAACAAAGUCU
rnacentral:lncRNA from 1 species